GCGCCGAUCGGGCCGGCGGUCGCGAACGCGAUCUUCGCGGCGACGGGCAAGCGGCAUUACGUGCUGCCGUUCGAUUCGGCGGAUAGCGCU
rnacentral:tRNA from 1 species